rnacentral:misc_RNA from 1 species
UUGUUCCCACAAGCUAUAUUCCAAAAACAACAAAAGAAUUUACCAAUAAUGUACCUAGUACAACUAUACAAGUAAAGGAGUUGAAAUAGUGAUACAUGUAUUUAUAUGCAGUUUACAGGCUAAUCCAUCAUUUACGAGCAUAUUCACAUGCGCAAACAUGAUGCAUUUACUAAAUGCACUUAUUUUCUUCAUUAUUUGAUUUAUUGCAAAAGUAAAAUCUCAUUUAUCAGCAUUCAUCAACACAUUAAAAA